UACGAACUGUGCGAACGUUACUCGGAAUCACUGGGCUUAAAGGGUGCGUAGGCGGCCCUUCAAGUCGGGUGUGAAAGUCCCCGGCCUAACCGGGGAAUUGCGCCCGAAACUGAAGAGCUUGAGUGCGCUAGGGGUGUGCGGAACUUCCGGUGGAGCGGUGAAAUGUGUUGAUAUCGGAAGGAACGCCGGUGGCGAAAGCGGCACACUGGGGCGUAACUGACGCUGAGGCACGAAAGCCAGGGAGCGAACGGG
rnacentral:misc_RNA from 1 species